rnacentral:rRNA from 1 species
UACAGAGGGUGCAAGCGUUAAUCGGAAUUACUGGGCGUAAAGCGUGCGUAGACGGUUAUGUAAGUCAGAUGUGAAAGCCCCGGGCUUAACCUGGGAAUGGCAUUUGAGACUGCAUAGCUAGGGUGCGGAAGAGGGAAGCGGAAUUUCCGGUGUAGCGGUGAAAUGCGUAGAUAUCGGAAGGAACACCAGUGGCGAAAGCGGCUUCCUGGUCCAGCACCGACGUUCAGGCACGAAAGCGUGGGGAGCAAACAGGG